rnacentral:rRNA from 1 species
GACGAACGCUGGCGGCGUGCUUAACACAUGCAAGUCGAACGGUUAAGCGCCUUCCUUUUUUGUGGGUGUGGAUGAGUGGCGAACGGGUGAGUAACACGUGAGUAACCUGCCCCCUUCUUCUGGAUAACCGCAUGAAAGUGUGGCUAAUACGGGAUAUUCUGGGUCUGUCGCAUGUUGGGUCUGGGAAAGAUCUUGUUUCGGUGGGGGAUGGGCUCGCGGCCUAUCAGCUUGUUGGUGGGGUGAUGGCCUACCAAGGCGGUGACGGGUAGCCGGCCUGAGAGGGUGGACGGUAAGGAGGGGAAGGAGACACGGCCCAGACUACGACGGGAAGCAGCAGGGGGGAAUAGUGCACAAUGGGCGCAAGCCUGAUGCAGCGACGCCGCGGGAGGGAUGGAGGCCUUCGGGUUGUGAACCUCUUGCGCCAGUGAAGCAGGCCUGCCUCGUUUGUGGGUGGGUUGACGGUAGCUGGAGAAGAAGCGCCGGCUAACUACGUG